rnacentral:misc_RNA from 1 species
AAAGGAACAAGCAAACUAAUCUUUCAUCGUAAUUAAUUGUAUGCAAAUUGUGUGUAUAUCUGUACAUCAACCAAUUUGUGAAGUGUGUGCAUGGUGGGAACUCUCCAAAUAAUAUUUUUCCAUCAUAUAGACAGAGACAAAAGAGAAAAAAAAAAUGCAUAUGGAAGAAAACAGAAAACCCCUUCUCUCAGUAUUAGAGACCUUUCCCAAGCCUUGUAUCGAAAGGGGGCGAGCAACUAUACAACCUCAGGCCAACACAAAGAAUAUAGAAAUUGUCUUGGCAGGGCAUUGUAAAGCACAACCAACAUUAACCAAAAUAACCUACAACCCCGCUGGGCAAGCUCUUGACAGGCAAGCAUGAG